GCCCCGCCUUGGGUGAGGUAAUAGAUAACGGUCUAAGAUACAAGCUGGACUUGAAGUGACACCCGAGCACUGGCCUGCAGGACCGAGGACGCUGCCCCAGGAGCCACUGCCAUGUCGGAGACAUGUGAGGCUGCGAAUAUGGCCAUGAAGUUGGGGACAACCCUGAUGAUCAAGGGCAAAAUUGCCAAAGAUGUUGAUCGGUGAGUUGGGGGAAGGGGAGCAGGUGGGGGCAGGAGGCAGCCUCGGUGCCCAGAACUUGGGCCAAGC
rnacentral:lncRNA from 1 species